rnacentral:lncRNA from 1 species
AUAUAUUUCCCCUUUCAAUUUAGAUCCUGUUGGUUUCUCCUUUAAUAGCAUGUUCUUUGUUCGAUUAAAUUAUAAGAAGGAAAGAAGGAAGGUACAAAUUUCAUUGUUCUCUUUUUUGUUUCAUAUUUAAUUUGGUUUCAGAUCUAGCAAUUAAAUUAAAUAAAUGGUUGGAGUAACACUAGAAAUCUGGUUUGACAGCAUGCAUUUUGUUGACCACGCUAUAUGGACAAACUUACCUUAUCUUAUCUUAUCUUAUUUUAUUUUAUUUGUUUAUUUGUACUGUUUUAUUUUUCCUUUUUUAAAAGUAAAUUCUUAUGUACCCUAAAACUUGAUUGAAUUUUUGUAUUUUGUAUGUAAAGUUUAUUUAAGUUUGAUUUUAAUUUUAAAUAAAUUAAUAUAAAAUAUGAUGUGACAUUGAUUUAUUGUGUGGUCAUUCUUUUAUUUUUGAGGUAAGUUUUUAUGUGGUUGUUUCGAACAAAGAACAUGCUAUUAAAGGAGAACAUGCUAAUAUUUCUCUUUAAUUUUUUUACUAAAUAAAUUCUCCUAUUCUUAUCCAUAACAAAAAAACAACAGAUCACUCCUAUUAUUUCCUUUUAUUAAAAAACAAAACAAACCUAUUUUUUUAUUAAAAACAAAAGAAAAUCAUCCCCUUUAUAUGAAAAACAAAACAAACCUAUUUUUUAUUAAAAACAAAACAAAAUCGACCCCUAUUUUUUUAUGAAACCUAAACUAAACUAAUUACCCUAUUUUUUUAUGAAAAAUAAAAUAAAUUAAUUUUGUUAAGUCUGCAACAACUUAAUCUAAUUUUUUUUCCUCCCUGAUCCUUUGUUAGGUUUGCAACAACUCAAUCCUAAAAGUUUGGCUCUAAAUUUGUAUCAUAUAUGUUUUUCAUUUCUCUCUCUAAUAACCGUUAAUAUUUUUCAAAGCAAAAAUAGAUAUCUUAAUCCUUAUUAUUUAUUAAGGAAAUCCUUAUUUUAACUAUAAAAGUAAUAAAUAAAAUUAACUCGUAAAACAAUAUAAUUUUAUAUUCUUUUUAUCUUUUUUCUUUAUCAUUUGAUUGUAUUAUUGUAUAUCUAAUAAUUUAAUUUGCGUUUAUUGAUCGAUCCGUGAUCUUACGGGUUAAAGAUUAUUUAUUGAUCUCUAUUAUAGUCGAGAAGACCCGUGCGUCGUACGGAUCAAAAGUCUAAUUUAUGAUUAUUUCUUUUCGUGCGGAGUUGGUAGCAUGAAUUUCAGAAUUUGAACCCGGUGAUGAUAUUCUAUCUUGCUAUCCUGAUUUCUUUUGUUCUUUCUUCUCCUUUUCUUUUUCUUUAGAUUAUUAAUGAUAUUCUACUUCUAAAUUUUAUAAAUUAGUUCAUAGGUCAUAAAUAAUGUUUGAUAAUUACUGGUUGAACCUGUGGAUAAGUUGACUAAGAGCAGAAAAGUUAGCAGAUUUAAGUUACAAUGUUUGAUAAAAUUAACGAUUGAAUUAGUUGAUAAAUAUAAAAUGUUAUAGAAAAAUAUUUUUAAUUAAUGUUUAGUGUUUUCCAUUAAGAUAAUAGCUACUUAUAUAAAAUAGCUUAUAAAAAACGUAAUAAAAAUUCUUAUAACUCUUGUGUAAAAAUUGUUACUAAAUAGGUCUAAUUUGACCAUAUGAACUCAUAAUAUAAACUUGAAAAUUGACUUGACCAAACCACAAUAUAAUUUUGCAUCCCUUGGUCAGGGGUUCUGGCUACACCACUAGUUGUUGUUCAAAGAUUUGAAGUACAAUAUCUGGUUUCAGUAGUUCCUCUACUUCUUCUUUUUUGUCAUUAUGCUAUAUAUUUAUAUUUUAAUUUAUUUGUUUCUUAACAUGAUGUAUAUAUGAAUUAUGAAAUGUUGACAUCAUAUUUCUGCUGCCACUUAGGAA